CAGCGCGUCGGUGAUGGGGCUCACCGCGAACCGCGGCAUCAUGCCGCUGACGGUCCCUGGCAGAAC
rnacentral:ncRNA from 2 species